AGGGUUAGGGUUGGAGCUAGGGUUAGGGUUAGGGUUAGGGUUGGAACUAGGGUUAGGUCUAGGGUUAGGGUUGGAGCUAGGGUUAGGGUUAGGGUUAGGGUUGGAGUUAGGGUUAGGGUUAGGGUUGGAGUUAGGGUUGGUGCUAGGGUUAGGGUUGGAGCUAGGGUUAGGGUUAGGGUUAGGGUUGGAGUUGGAGUUAGGGUUCGAGCUAGGGUUAGGGUUAGGGUUAGGGUUGGAGCUAGGGUUAGGGUUAGGGUUGGAGUUAGGGUUGGAGCUAGGGUUUGGGUUAGGGUUAGGGUUGGAGCUAGGGUUAGAGUUAGGGUUGGAGUUAGGGUUGGAGUUAGGGUUGGAGCUAGGGUUAGGGUUGGAGUUAGGGUUGGGGUUAGGGUUAGGGUUGGAGUUAGGGUUGGAGCUAGGGUUAGGGUUAGGGUUAGGGUUAGGGUUAGGGUUAGGGUUGGAGUUAGGGUUGCAGCUAGGGUUAGGGUUGGAGCUAGGGUUAGGGUUAGGGUUGGAGUUAGGGUUAGGGUUAGGGUUAGGGUUUGAGUUAGGGUUAGGGUUGGAGCUAGGGUUAGGGUAAGGGUUAGGGUUGGAGCUAGGGUUAGGGUUAGGGUUAGGGUUUGAGCUAGGGUUAGGGUUAGGGUUAGGGUUAGGGUUGGAGUUAGGGUUAGGGUUAGGGUUAGGGUUGGAGUUAGGGUUGCAGCUAGGGUUAGGGUUAGGGUUAGGGUUGGAGCCAGGAUUAAGGUUAGGGUUAGGGUUGGAGUUAGGGUUAGGGUUAGGGUUGGAGCUAGGGUUAGGGUUAGGGUUAGGGUUGGAGCUAGGGUUAGGGUUAGGGUUAGGGUUAGGGUUUGAGUUAGGAUAUAGGGGUAUGUGCCACUUUUGACAUGCCGGUUCAUUGCCUUUCCCAUUGAUGAACCGGGCUGAGAUUUGGUCUACCCCCCCAUUUUCGGGUAUGCUGAAUCUAGAAAUAGUAAUGAACCAGCGAUCGGACAUUCCUAUCAAAAGUUAUGGCGAAGUGAAAAUUUCCCAUUGAAAAUGAAUGGGAGCGGAAAAAUGGCCAAAGUCAGUGUUUGCAAGUGUUGUACUUGUCUGGAAAUGUUGAAAAUGCAUUGUGAGCACGUUUCAGGCCAUUUCCUGUCAUUUGAGGGCGACUUUGCAAAAAGGGGUGUCAUACCGCUUUUGACCAGAGGUGGCGCUGCACCAGUUCGAGGGUUAGGGUUAGGGUGAGACUUAGGGCUAGGGGUUAGGGUUAGGGCUGGAGCUAUGGUUAGGGUUAGGGUUAGGGUUAAGGUUGGAACUAGGGUUAGGGUUAAGGUUAGGGUUGGAAAAAUCUUCCACCCCCAACAUGCAAGUUUCAGCGCUCUACGACCUACAAAAUGCAUAUAGCUAUCCCUAACCCUAACCCUAACUCCAACCCUAACCCUAACCCUAGCUCCAACCCUAACCCUAGCUGCAACCCUAACUCCAACCCUAACCCUAACCCUAACCCUAGCUCCAACCCUUACCCUAACCCUAGCUCCAACCCUAACUCCAACCCUAACCCUAACCCUAACCCUCGCUCCAACCCUAACUCCAACCCUAACCCUAACCCUAACCCUAGCUCCAACCCAAACCCAAACCCUAACCCUAGCUCCAACCCUAACUCCAACCCUAACCCUAACGCUAACUCCAACCCUUACCCUAACCCUAACUCCAACACUAACCCUAACCCCAACCCUUGCUCCAACCCUAACCCUAACCCUAAACAUAGCUCCAACCCUAACCCUAACCCUAGCUCAAACCCUAACUCCAACCCUAGCUCCAACCCUAACUCCAACCCUAACCCUAACCCUAACCCUAACUCCAACCCUAACCCUAACCCUAACCCUAACCCUAGAUGCAACCCUAACUCCAACCUUAACCCUAACCCUAGCUCCAACCCUAACCCUAACCCUAGCUGCAACCCUAACUCCAACCCUAACCCUUACCCUAACCCUAGCUCCAACCCUAACCCUAACCCUAACUCCGACCCUAACCCUAACCCUAACCCUAGCUCCAACCCUAACCCUAACCCUAGCUCAACCCUAACCCUAACCCUAACCCUAGCUGCAACCCUAACCCUAACCCUAGCUGCAACCCUAACUCCAACCCUAACCCUUACCCUAACCCUAGCUCCAACCCUAACCCUAACUCCGACCCUAACCCUAACCCUAACCCUAGCUCCAACCCUAACCCUAACCCUAGCUCAACCCUAACCCUAACCCUAAGCCUAGCUGCAACCCUAACCCUAACCCUAACCCUUGCUCCAACCCUAAACCUAACCCUAACCCUAGCUGCAACCCUAACUCCAACCUUAACCCUAACCCUAACCCUAGUCCAACCCUAACCCUAACCCUAACCCUAGCUCCCACCCUAACUCCAACCCUAACCCUAACCCUAACCCUAUCUCCUACCCUAACCCUAACCCUAGCUCCAACCCUAACCCUAACCCUAGCUGCCACCCUAACUCCAACCCUAUCCCUAACACUAACCCUAUCUCCUACCCUAACCCUAACCCUAGCUCCAACCCUAACCCUAACCCUAGCUGCAACCCUAACUCCAACCCUAACCCUUACCCUAACCCUAGCUCCAACCCUAACCCUAACCCUAAACCUAGCUCCAACCCUAACCCUAACCCUAACCCUAGCUCCCACCCUAACUCCAACCCUAACCCUAACCCUAACCCUAGCUCCAACCCUAACUCCAACCCUAACCCUAACCCUAGCUCCAACACUAACCCUUACCCUAACCCUAGCUCCAACCCUAACCCUAACUCCAACCCUAACCCUAACCCUAACCCUAACUCCAACCCUAACCCUUACUUUAACUCCAACCCUAACCCUAACCCUAACCCUAGCUCCAACCCUAACCCUAACCCUAGCUCAACCCUAACCCUAACCCUAACCCUAGCUGCAACCCUAACUCCAACCAUAACCCUAACCCUAACCCUAACUCCAACCCUAACCCUAACUCUAGCUCCAACCCUAACCCUAACCCUAACCCUAGCUCCAACCCUAAAUCCAACCCUAACCCUAACCCUAGCUCCAACCCUAACCCUAAUCCUAGCUCCAACCCUAACCCUAACUCCAACCCUAACCCUAACCCUAACCCUAACUCCAACCCUAACCCUAACCCUAACCCUAACUCCAACCCUAACCCUAACUCCAACCCUAACCCUAACCCUAACCCUAGCUCCAACCCUAACCCUAACCCUAACCCUAACCCUAGCUGCAACCCUAACUCCAACCCUAACCCUAACCCUAACCCUAGCUCCAACCCUAACCCUAACUCCAACCCAACCCUAACUCCAACCCUAACCCUAACCCUAGCUCCAACCCUAACCCUAACCCUAACCCUAGCUGCAACCCUAACCCCCACACUAACCCUAACCCUAACCCUAGCUCCAACCCUAACCCUAACCCUAGCUCCAACCCUGACUCCAACCCUAACCCUAAUCCUAACCCUAGCUCCAACCCUAACCCUAGCUCCAACCCUAACUCCAACCCUAACCCUAACCCUAACCCUAACCCUAGCUCCAACCCUAACCCUAACCCUAACCCUAGCUCCAACCCUAACUCCAACUCCAACCCUAACCCUAACCCUGACCCUAGCUCCAACCCUGACCCUAACCCUAACCCUGGCUCCAAUCCUAACCCUAACCCUAGCUGCAACCCUAACUAACUAAGGGUUAGGGUUGGAGCUAGGGUUAGGGUUAGGGUUAGGGUUGGGUUAGGGUUGGAGCUAGGGUUAGGGUUAGGGUUAGGGUUGGAGUUAGGGUUAGGGUUGGAGUUAGGGUUGGAGCUAGGGUUAGGGUUCGAGUUGGAGCUAGGGUUAGGGUUAGGGUUAGGGUUGGAGUUGGAGUUAGGGUUGGAGCUAGGGUUAGGGUUAGGGUUAGGGUUGGAGCUAGGGUUAGGGUUAGGGUUAGGGUUGGAGUUAGGGUUGGAGCUAGGGUUUGGGUUAGGGUUAGGGUUGGAGCUAGGGUUAGAGUUAGGGUUGGAGUUAGGGUUGGAGUUAGGGUCGGAGCUAGGGUUAGGGUUGGAGUUAGGGUUGGGGUUAGGGUUAGGGUUGGAGUUAGGGUUGGAGCUAGGGUUAGGGUUAGGGUUGGCGCUUGGGUUAGGGUUAGGGUUAGUGUUGGAGUUAGGGUUGCAGCUAGGGUUAGGGUUAGGGUUGGAGCUAGGGUUAGGGUUAGGGUUGGAGUUAGGGUUAGGGUUAGGGUUAGGGUUUGAGUUAGGGUUAGGGUUGGAGCUAGGGUUAGGGUAAGGGUUAGGGUUGGAGCUAGGGUUAGGGUUAGGGUUAGGGUUUGAGCUAGGGUUAGGGUUAGGGUUAGGGUUAGGGUUGGAGUUAGGGUUAGGGUUAGGGUUGGAGUUAGGGUUGCAGCUAGGGUUAGGGUUAGGGUUAGGGUUGGAGCCAGGAUUAAGGUUAGGGUUAGGGUUGGAGUUAGGGUUAGGGUUAGGGUUGGAGCUAGGGUUAGGGUUAGGGUUAGGGUUGGAGUUAGGGUUAGGGUUAGGGUUGGAGUUAGGGUUGGAGCUAGGGUUAGGGUUGGAGCUAGGGUUAGGGUUAGGGUUAGGGUUGGAGUUGGAGUUAGGGUUGGAGCUAGGGUUAGGGUUAGGGUUAGGGUUGGAGCUAGGGUUAGGGUUAGGGUUGGAGUUAGGGUUGGAGCUAGGGUUUGGGUUAGGGUUAGGGUUAGGGUUAGGGUUAGAGUUAGGGUUGGAGUUAGGGUUGGAGUUAGGGUUGGAGCUAGGGUUAGGGUUGGAGUUAGGGUUGGGGUUAGGGUUAGGGUUGGAGUUAGGGUUGGAGCUAGGGUUAGGGUUAGGGUUGGCGCUUGGGUUAGGGUUAGGGUUAGUGUUGGAGUUAGGGUUGCAGCUAGGGUUAGGGUUAGGGUUAGGGUUGGAGCGUUAGGGUUAGGGUUAGAGUUAGGGUUAGGGUUAGGGUUAGGGUUUGAGUUAGGGUUAGGGUUGGAGCUAGGGUUAGGGUAAGGGUUAGGGUUGGAGCUAGGGUUAGGGUUAGGGUUAGGGUUUGAGCUAGGGUUAGGGUUAGGGUUAGGGUUAGGGUUGGAGUUAGGGUUAGGGUUAGGGUUAGGGUUAGGGUUGGAGUUAGGGUUGCAGCUAGGGUUAGGGUUAGGGUUAGGGUUGGAGCCAGGAUUAAGGUUAGGGUUAGGGUUGGAGUUAGGGUUAGGGUUAGGGUUGGAGCUAGGGUUAGGGUUAGGGUUAGGGUUAGGGUUUGAGUUAGGGUUGCAGCUAGGGUUAGGGUUAGGGUUAGGGUUGGAGCUAGGGUUAGGGUUGUUAUAGGGUUGGAGCUAGGGUUAGGGUUAGGGUUGGAGCUAGAGUUAGGGUUAGGGUUGGAGUUAGGGUUAGGGUUAGGGUUAUGGUUGGAGUUAGGGUUGCAGCUAGGGUUAGGGUUAGGGUUAGGGUUAGGGUUGAGCUAGGGUUAGGGUUAGGGUUGGAGCUAGGGUUAGGGUUAGGGUUAGGGUUGGAGCUAGGGUUAGGGUUAGGGUUAGGGUUGGAGUUAGGGUUGGAGCUAGGGUUAGGGUUGGAGCUAGGGUUAGGGUUAGGGUUGGAGGGUUAGGGUUAGGGUUAGGGUUAGGGUUGGAGUUAGGGUUGGAGCUAGGGUUAGGGUUAGGGUUAGAGCUAGGGUUAGGGUUAGGGCUAGGGUUGGAGUUAGGGUUGGAGCUAGGGUUAGGGUUAGGGUUAGAGCUAGGGUUAGGGUUAGGGUUAGGGUUGGAGUUAGGGUUGCAGCUAGGGUUAGGGUUAGGGUUAGGGUUAGGGUUGGAGUUAGGGUUAGGGUUAGGGUUAGGUAUAUGCAUUUUGGAGGUCGUAGAGCGCUGAAACUUGCAUGUUUGGGGUGGAAGAUUUUUCUGAGUCCAAUGAACCAACUCCCGAGUCUCUAGGACGUUCCUAAAAAAAGUUGAUUUUUUCCAAUAGGAAUGCAUGGGAAGAAAAUUUUGAGUGAAGAAAAUUCAUUGAAGUGCCGACCCAAUUUUUCACCUUCCAGAAUUGUGUUAGGAGUACGUUUCAGGCCACGGGUCUAUAGAACCUAAUUCUGGGGGAAGUUUUUUGAAAAGUUUACUUAGGGUUAGGGUUAGGGUUAGGGUUGGAGCUAGGGUUAGGGUUAGGGUUGGAGCUAGGGUUAGGGUUAGGGUUAGGGUUGGAGUUAAGGUUGGAGCUAAGGUUAGGGUUAGGGUUAGGGUUGGAGCUAGGGUUAGGGUUAGGGUUAGGGUUGGAGUUAGGGUUGGAGCUAGGGUUAGGGUUAGGGUUAGGGUUGGAGCUAGGGUUAGGGUUAGGGUUAGGGUUGGAGUUAGGGUUGGAGCUAGGGUUAGGGUUAGGGUUGGAGCUAGGGUUAGGGUUAGGGUUGGCGCUAGGGUUAGGGUUAGGGUUAGUGUUGGAGUUAGGGUUGCAGCUAGGGUUAGGGUUAGGGUUAGGGUUGGAGCUAGGGUUAGGGUUAGGGUUGGAGUUAGGGUUAGGGUUAGGGUUUGAGUUAGGGUUAGGGUUGGAGCUAGGGUUAGGGUUAGGGUUAGGGUUGGAGCUAGGGUUAGGGUUAGGGUUAGGGUUUGAGCUAGGGUUAGGGUUAGGGUUAGGGUUGGAGUUAGGGUUAGGGUUAGGGUUGGAGUUAGGGUUGCAGCUAGGGUUAGGGUUAGGGUUAGGGUUGGAGCUAGGGUUAGGGUUAGGGUUAGGGUUAGAGCUAGGGUUAGGGUUAGGGUUAGGGUUAGGGUUUGAGUUAGGGUUGCAGCUAGGGUUAGGGUUAGGGUUAGGGUUGGAGCUAGGUUUAGGGUUGUUAUAGGGUUGGAGCUAGGGUUAGGGUUAGGGUUGGGGUUGGAGCUAGAGUUAGGGUUAGGGUUGGAGUUAGGGUUAGGGUUAGGGUUAUGGUUGGAGUUAGGGUUGCAGCUAGGGUUAGGGUUAGGGUUAGGGUUGAGCUAGGGUUAGGGUUAGGGUUGGAGCUAGGGUUAGGGUUAGGGUUAGGGUUGGAGCUAGGGUUAGGGUUAGGGUUAGGGUUGGAGUUAGGGUUGGAGCUAGGGUUAGGGUUUGAGCUAGGGUUAGGGUUAGGGUUGGAGCUAGGGUUGGAGCUAGGGUUAGGAUUAGGGUUAGGGUUGGAGUUAGGGUUGGAGCUAGGGUUAGGGUUAGGGUUAGAGCUAGGGUUAGGGUUAGGGUUAGGGUUGGAGUUAGGGUUGGAGCUAGGGUUAGGGUUAGGGUUAGAGCUAGGGUUAGGGUUAGGGUUAGGGUUGGAGUUAGGGUUGGAGUUAGGGUUAGGGUUAGGGUUAGGUAUAUGCAUUUUGGAGGUCGUAGAGCGCUGAAACUUGCAUGUUUUGGGUGGAAGAUUUUUCUGAGUCCAAUGAACCAACUCCCGAGUCUCUAGGACGUUCCUAAAAAAAGUUGAUUUUUUCCAAUAGGAAUGCAUGGGAAGAAAAUUUUGAGUGAAGAAAAUUCAUUGAAGUGCCGACCCAAUUUUUCACCUUCCAGAAUUGUGUUAGGAGUACGUUUCAGGCCACGGGGAGUCUAUAGAACCUAAUUCUGGGGGAAGUUUUUUGAAAAGUUUACUUAGGGUUAGGGUUAGGGUUAGGGUUGGAGCUAGGGUUAGGGUUAGGGUUGGAGCUAGGGUUAGGGUUAGGGUUAGGGUUGGAGUUAAGGUUGGAGGUUAGGGUUAGGGUUAGGGUUGGAGCUAGGGUUAGGGUUAGGGUUAGGGUUGGAGUUAGGGUUGGAGCUAGGGUUAGGGUUAGGGUUGGAGCUAGGGUUAGGGUUAGGGUUAGGGUUGGAGUUAGGGUUGGAGCUAGGGUUAGGGUUAGGGUUGGAGCUAGGGUUAGGGUUAGGGUUGGCGCUAGGGUUAGGGUUAGGGUUAGUGUUGGAGUUAGGGUUGCAGCUAGGGUUAGGGUUAGGGUUAGGGUUGGAGCUAGGGUUAGGGUUAGGGUUGGAGUUAGGGUUAGGGUUAGGGUUUGAGUUAGGGUUAGGGUUGGAGCUAGGGUUAGGGUAAGGGUUAGGGUUGGAGCUAGGGUUAGGGUUAGGGUUAGGGUUUGAGCUAGGGUUAGGGUUAGGGUUAGGGUUGGAGUUAGGGUUAGGGUUAGGGUUGGAGUUAGGGUUGCAGCUAGGGUUAGGGUUAGGGUUAGGGUUGGAGCUAGGGUUAGGGUUAGGGUUAGGGUUAGAGCUAGGGUUAGGGUUAGGGUUAGGGUUAGGGUUUGAGUUAGGGUUGCAGCUAGGGUUAGGGUUAGGGUUAGGGUUGGAGCUAGGGUUAGGGUUGUUAUAGGGUUGGAGCUAGGGUUAGGGUUAGGGUUAGGGUUGGAGCUAGAGUUAGGGUUAGGGUUGGAGUUAGGGUUAGGGUUAGGGUUAUGGUUGGAGUUAGGGUUGCAGCUAGGGUUAGGGUUAGGGUUAGGGUUGAGCUAGGGUUAGGGUUAGGGUUGGAGCUAGGGUUAGGGUUAGGGUUAGGGUUGGAGCUAGGGUUAGGGUUAGGGUUAGGGUUGGAGUUAGGGUUGGAGCUAGGGUUAGGGUUUGAGCUAGGGUUAGGGUUAGGGUUGGAGCUAGGGUUUGAGCUAGGGUUAGGAUUAGGGUUAGGGUUGGAGUUAGGGUUGGAGCUAGGGUUAGGGUUAGGGUUAGAGCUAGGGUUAGGGUUAGGGUUAGGGUUGGAGUUAGGGUUGGAGCUAGGGUUAGGGUUAGGGUUAGAGCUAGGGUUAGGGUUAGGGUUAGGGUUGGAGUUAGGGUUGCAGCUAGGGUUAGGGUUAGGGUUGGAGCUAGGGUUAGGGUUAGGGUUGGAGUUAGGGUUAGGGUUAGGGUUAGGUAUAUGCAUUUUGGAGGUCGUAGAGUGCUGAAACUUGCAUGUUGGGGGUGGAAGAAUUUUUCUGAGUCCAAUGAACCAACUCCCGAGUCUCUAGGACGUUCCUAAAAAAAGUUGAUUUUUUCCAAUAGGAAUGCAUGGGAAGAAAAUUUUGAGUGAAGAAAAUUCAUUGAAGUGCCGACCCAAUUUUUCACCUUCCAGAAUUGUGUUAGGAGUACGUUUCAGGCCACGGGUCUAUAGAACCUAAUUCUGGGGGAAGUUUUUUGAAAAGUUUACUUAGGGUUAGGGUUAGGGUUAGGGUUGGAGCUAGGGUUAGGGUUAGGGUUGGAGCUAGGGUUAGGGUUAGGGUUAGGGUUGGAGUUAAGGUUGGAGCUAGGGUUAGGGUUAGGGUUAGGGUUGGAGCUAGGGUUAGGGUUAGGGUUAGGGUUGGAGUUAGGGUUGGAGCUAGGGUUAGGGUUAGGGUUAGGGUUAGGGUUGGAGCUAGGGUUAGGGUUAGGGUUAGGGUUGGAGUUAGGGUUGGAGCUAGGGUUAGGGUUAGGGUUGGAGCUAGGGUUAGGGUUAGGGUUGGAGCUAGGGUUAGGGUUAGGGUUGGAGUUAGGGUUUGAGCUAGGGUUAGGGUUAGGGUUGGAGCUAGGGUUAGGGUUGGAGUUAGGGUUGCAGCUAGGGUUAGGGUUAGGGUUAGGGUUGGAGCUAGGGUUAGGGUUAGGGUUGGAGUUAGGGUUAGGGUUAGGGUUAGGGUUGGAGUUAGGGUUGGAGCUAGGGUUAGGGUUAGGGUUGGAUCUAGGGUUAGGGUUAGGGUUGGAGCUAGGGUUAGGGUUCGGGUUAGGGUUGGAGCUAGGGUUAGGGUUAGGGUUGGAGCUAGGGUUAGGGUUAGGGUUGGAGCUAGGGUUAGGGUUAGGGUUGGAGCUAGGGUUAGGGUUAGGGUUGGAGCUAGGGUUAGGGUUCGGGUUAGGGUUGGAGUUAGGGUUUGAGCUAGGGUUAGGGUUAGGGUUGGAGCUAGGGUUAGGGUUGGAGUUAGGGUUGCAGCUAGGGUUAGGGUUAGGGUUAGAGCUAGGGUUAGGGUUAGGGUUAGGGUUGGAGUUAGGGUUGGAGCUAGGGUUAGGGUUAGGGUUAGAGCUAGGGUUAGGGUUAGGGUUAGGGUUGGAGUUAGGGUUGGAGCUAGGGUUAGGGUUAGGGUUAGAGCUAGGGUUAGGGUUAGGGUUAGGGUUGGAGUUAGGGUUGCAGCUAGGGUUAGGGUUAGGGUUGGAGCUAGGGUUAGGGUUAGGGUUGGAGUUAGGGUUAGGGUUAGGGUUAGGUAUAUGCAUUUUGGAGGUCGUAGAGCGCUGAAACUUGCAUGUUUGGGGUGGAAGAUUUUUCUGAGUCCAAUGAACCAACUCCCGAGUCUCUAGGACGUUCCUAAAAAAAGUUGAUUUUUUCCAAUAGGAAUGCAUGGGAAGAAAAUUUUGAGUGAAGAAAAUUCAUUGAAGUGCCGACCCAAUUUUUCACCUUCCAGAAUUGUGUUAGGAGUACGUUUCAGGCCACGGGGAGUCUAUAGAACCUAAUUCUGGGGGAAGUUUUUUGAAAAGUUUACUUAGGGUUAGGGUUAGGGUUAGGGUUGGAGCUAGGGUUAGGGUUAGGGUUGGAGCUAGGGUUAGGGUUAGGGUUAGGGUUGGAGUUAAGGUUGGAGCUAAGGUUAGGGUUAGGGUUAGGGUUGGAGCUAGGGUUAGGGUUAGGGUUAGGGUUGGAGUUAGGGUUGGAGCUAGGGUUAGGGUUAGGGGUUAGGGUUAGGGUUGGAGCUAGGGUUAGGGUUAGGGUUAGGGUUGGAGUUAGGGUUGGAGCUAGGAUUAGGGUUAGGGUUGGAGCUAGGGUUAGGGUUAGGGUUGGAGCUAGGGUUGGAGCUAGGGUUGGAGUUAGGGUUUGAGCUAGGGUUAGGGUUAGGGUUGGAGCUAGGGUUAGGGUUGGAGUUAGGGUUGCAGCUAGGGUUAGGGUUAGGGUUAGGGUUGGAGCUAGGGUUAGGGUUAGGGUUGGAGUUAGGGUUAGGGUUAGGGUUAGGGUUGGAGUUAGGGUUGGAGCUAGGGUUAGGGUUAGGGUUGGAGCUAGGGUUAGGGUUAGGGUUGGAGCUAGGGUUAGGGUUCGGGUUAGGGUUGGAGCUAGGGUUAGGGUUAGGGUUAGAGCUAGGGUUAGGGUUAGGGUUGGAGCUAGGGUUAGGGUUAGGGUUGGAGCUAGGGUUAGGGUUAGGGUUGGAGCUAGGGUUAGGGUUGGAGCUAGGAUUGGAGUUAGGGUUUGAGCUAGGGUUAGGGUUAGGGUUGGAGCUAGGGUUAGGGUUGGAGUUAGGGUUGCAGCUAGGGUUAGGGUUAGGGUUAGAGCUAGGGUUAGGGUUAGGGUUAGGGUUGGAGUUAGGGUUGCAGCUAGGGUUAGGGUUAGGGUUGGAGCUAGGGUUAGGGUUAGGGUUAGGGUUAGGGUUAGGUAUAUGCAUUUUGGAGGUCGUAGAGUGCUGAAACUUGCAUGUUGGGGGUGGAAGAAUUUUCUGAGUCCAAUGAACCAACUCCCGAGUCUCUAGGACGUUCCUAAAAAAAGUUGAUUUUUUCCCAUAGGAAUGCAUGGGAAGAAAAUUUUGAGUGAAGAAAAUUCAUUGAAGUGCCGACCCAAUUUUUCACCUUCCAGAAUUGUGUUAGGAGUACGUUUCAGGCCACGGGGAGUCUAUAGAACCUAAUUCUGGGGGAAGUUUUUUGAAAAGUUUACUUAGGGUUAGGGUUAGGGUUGGAGCUAGGGUUAGGGUUAGGGUUGGAGCUAGGGUUAGGGUUAGGGUUAGGGUUGGAGUUAAGGUUGGAGCUAGGGUUAGGGUUAGGGUUGGAGCUAGGGUUAGGGUUCGGGUUAGGGUUGGAGCUAGGGUUAGGGUUAGGGUUAGGGUUGGAGUUAGGGUUGGAGCUAGGGUUAGGGUUAGGGUUGGAGCUAGGGUUAGGGUUAGGGUUGGAGCUAGGGUUAGGGUUCGGGUUAGGGUUGGAGCUAGGGUUGGAGUUAGGGUUUGAGCUAGGGUUAGGGUUAGGGUUAGGGUUGGAGUUAGGGUUGCAGCUAGGGUUAGGGUUAGGGUUGGAGUUAGGGUUGCAGCUAGGGUUAGGGUUAGGGUUAGGGUUGGGGCUAGGGUUAGGGUUAGGGUUGGAGUUAGGGUUAGGGUUAGGGUUAGGGUUAGGUAUAUGCAUUUUGGAGGUCGUAGAGUGCUGAAACUUGCAUGUUGGGGGUGGAAGAAUUUUCUGAGUCCAAUGAACCAACUCCCGAGUCUCUAGGACGUUCCUAAAAAAAGUUGAUUUUUUCCCAUAGGAAUGCAUGGGAAGAAAAUUUUGAGUGAAGAAAAUUCAUUGAAGUGCCGACCCAAUUUUUCACCUUCCAGAAUUGUGUUAGGAGUACGUUUCAGGCCACGGGGAGUCUAUAGAACCUAAUUCUGGGGGAAGUUUUUUGAAAAGUUUACUUAGGGUUAGGGUUAGGGUUAGGGUUAGGGUUGGAGCUAGGGUUAGGGUUGGAGUUGGAGUUAGAGUUGCAGCUAGGGUUAGGGUUAGGGUUAGGGUUGGAGCUAGGGUUAGGGUUGCAGCUAGGGAUAGGGUUAGGGUUGGAGCUAGGGUUUUGGUUGGAGCUAGGGUUAGGGUUAGGGCUGGGGUUAGGAUUAGGGUU